UUUUCCUAGUAUCAGGCUAAU
rnacentral:piRNA from 1 species